CUCCAAAUCUACAUGUAAUGUCAGUGGUGAUGGUGCAGGGAUAUGACACAUGCCUCUGGUGUGUGAGACCUGGGUUCGAUUCCCACUGCGAUACAUCAACCAACGUGUCCCUGAACGAGACAUUUAACCCCUAGUUGCCCCAGAGGCGUGCAACCCUUGACAUGUAUAGAAAUUGCAAGUCUCU